UAUCAAGAAAUAACAAACCGCAUUCUACAUUGGGAUUCAACCAAGCCAUGUAAUAAAUGCUAAUAACAUGAUGCAUAAAAUUGGUUUAGUAUUAUACAUUUGCUGUGAUGUUAAAGCAUUUAACAGAACAAUAUAAACCCAGUUUGGCUUCUACACUAAAGGGCUAACAUUAAUUUACUCCUUAUGUCCCCUUUCCAGGGGCACUAUUAAAGUAUAUGCUGCCAGUAAGCAAACCUCCAUCUGUUGUCAUGUCACCCAAGAAGCUGGCGAUGCUGAUUUUUUCAUUAGCAUGCCCAUCAACCUCUACCUCCAGCUCUGGUGUCACCCAAGAAGCUGACAAUGCUGGUCUUUCUCCUGUUGAAGUGGAGAGCAGUACCCCCAUGCCUUCCACCACACCUG